rnacentral:rRNA from 1 species
UACGAAGGUCCCAAGCGUUGUUCGGAUUCACUGGGCGUAAAGGGAGCGUAGGCUGUGCGGUAAGUCAGAUGUGAAAUCCCGGGGCUCAACCCCGGAACUGCAUCCGAUACUGCCGUACUAGAGUAUUGGAGAGGUAACAGGAAUUCACGGUGUAGCAGUGAAAUGCGUAGAUAUCGUGAGGAAGACCAAUGGCGAAAGCAUGUUACUGGACAAUCACUGACGCUGAGGCUCGAAGGCCAGGGUAGCGAAAGGG